ACCUUUGUGGCGAAAUCGGUAAACGCAGUAUAUUCAAAAUAUACGUUUUUUAAGGGUUCGAGUCCCUUCAGAGGUA
rnacentral:tRNA from 1 species